rnacentral:rRNA from 1 species
GUCUUUUUGAGUUAUUUUUAAAGUCUGACCUGCCCACUGAAAUAUUUAAAUGGCCGCAGUAUUCUAACUGUGCAAAGGUAGCAUAAUCAUUAGUCUUUUAAUUGAAGGCUGGUAUGAACGGUUGGACGAAGUAUAAGCUGUUUCAUAUAAAUUUAUAUUAGAAUUUUAUAUUUUAGUCAAAAAGCUAAAAUAAAAUUAAAAGACGAGAAGACCCUAUAAAUCUUUAUAUUUUAUAUUAUUUAAAUUUUUUUGAUUUAUUUUAUUUUUAUAUAAUAAAAUAUUUUGUUGGGGUGAUAUUAAAAUUUAAUAAACUUUUAAUUAGUUUAAAAUCAUUAAUUUAUGAAUUGUUGAUCCGUUAUUAGCGAUUAUAAGAUUAAGUUACUUUAGGGAUAACAGCGUAAUUUUUUUUGAGAGUUCAUAUCGACAAAAAAGUUUGCGACCUCGAUGUUGGAUUAAGAUAUAUUUUUAGGUGUAGCCGCUUAAAUAUUAAGUCUGUUCGACUUUUAAAUUCUU